CUAAGUCUGCGCCCUAACUUACACAGGUUUGGCAGCCUUAGUUCAAAGAAAGUAGUACUAAAUAUCGCCAAGAUAAGCAGCACGGAAAGAAGACAAUCGAGAUGACGCCCCGUGGCAAACUGACGCAAGAAUUGCAACGUUCUGUCAAACCUUGCAUGCGUUCGGAAGACAUAGACGCGGUGCAUGAAAUACCUCACCUGUGAUUUCGGCGAGCAUGUGGGCCACCAUUAAGCAGACGAGCAAGACCUGACAUUGUAUGAAAGGAGCCACUAGACGUCAUGGUGGGAGGUAGAUAUGGGGAGAAAAAAUGAACACUCAAGCAUCACCUUUCAUAUAGUUGGCGGUUGACGUGCAGAUUUUUCAACUGCUUCGAUGAUGAAUUCCCAUUUUCGGGCCUAUAGCAACGUUUGCUUAUCAAAAACCACGGUGGCCCUCUGCAGUAUAAAUUUAAAUUACGUACCAUUAGAACAAGUACUGAUGUUGUCCCAUCUCUUCGUUUAUUUUUAAAUAGGCUCGUUUUAAGAAGUUCUCCGUGCGCAUUGUGAUAUACCUGUCUUUGUUAGAUGCUUCAAAAUUUAUAUGCCAGAUAUUUAUGACGUGGUCGCAUGGACUUGUUACUUAAAACCUAGGAAUGUAGAAAGCGAUUGUAUUUCCGGCCGUUUACGUCGAAAGUGCCGCUUCCUUCUUUUAUACAAUGACUGAUGAAUAAAGAAAACCUAUUUUGUCAUCCCGAC